AUGCAUCCCUUCUCCAUCAUGCUAUCUGUAAAUCAAGAUGCUUGUGUAAUCUCAAGAAAGAACCAAGCAUCAUCCAAUGAAGAUCAAUCACUAAAUUUUGUGACAAUCCAAAUCCCUUGGCAUAAAAAGACCAUAUAAAAAUUGCAGUCACAUAGCAAAGAGUGACAAUUUUAAACCAUCUUUUGGUUGAUAUUCCAAUAUUGAAGUGCAAGAUAUUGUUUCAUCUUCAAAUUUCACAGAGGUUUUGUAUGAAAAUAAGUAUUACGCGAAGAACAUACAUAGUCAUCGAUAUCGAUAUGGU
rnacentral:lncRNA from 1 species